rnacentral:rRNA from 1 species
AAUCAACGCUGGCGGCGUGCCUCAGACAUGCAAGUCGAACGCGAAAGUCCCCUUCGGGGGACAAGUAGAGUGGCGCACGGGUGAGUAACACGUAGGUAAUCUACCUUCGGAUGGGGAAUAACAACCGGAAACGGUUGCUAAUACCGCAUAAUGCAGCGGCACCUAAUGGUGACAGUUGUUAAAGCGGGGGAUCGAAAGACCUCGCGUCUGAAGAGGAGCCUGCGGCGGAUUAGCUAGNGGUAAGGUAAUGGCUUACCAAGGCGACGAUCCGUA